ensembl:lncRNA
CUAAUAUAACCCCAGGAGAGAAGGCUCCUAAUAUAACCCCAGGAGAGAAGGCUUGGCUCCUAAUAUAACCCCAGGAGAGAAGGCUCCUAAUAUAACCCCAGGAGAGAAGGCUUGGCUCCUCAUAUAACCCCAGGAGAGAAGGCUUGGCUCCUAAUAUAACCCCAGGAGAGAAGGCUUGGCUCCUCAUAUAACCCCAGGAGAGAAGGCUUGGCUCCUAAUAUAACCCCAGGAGAGAAGGCUUGGCUCCUAAUAUAACCCCAGGAGAGAAGGCUUGGCUCCUAAUAUAACCCCAGGAGAGAAGGCUUGGCUCCUAAUAUAACCCCAGGAGAGAAGGCUUGGCUCCUCAGGCCAGUGCUGGAAAAGGGUUAGAAAAGUUUGUCUGCCUGUUUGUGUCUUUGUUUCGGGUUAGAAUUCAUCAUAAGUCCAGAGGCCUCAAAAUAAUUCAACAAAAAAAACUUCCCAAAAAUAUAGAUAUCAAUACAAGUCUCCCAGAAGUCCCCAAAUGUUUGAAAUUCUGAAAUUCUAAGGCAAAGGUGGCACAUAUCCUGUUGGUGCCAGAGUGAGGAGAGGACGUUGAUAGUAAAACUGUAUAACAAUGAUGAAUACAGUCAGUUACCCUCUGGUUCAUUGGCCAUCGUGGCUACUUAGCUGGACAGGAUAUGCUCUCAAAUGUCUCUCGCGUGUAGGACCAGUUUUCUGUAGGACAGGAUAUGCUCUCAAAUGUCUCUCGCGUGUAGGACCAGUUUUCUGUAGGACAGGAUAUGCUCUCAAAUGUCUCUCGCGUGUAGGACCAGUUUUCUGUAGGACAGGAUAUGCUCUCAAAUGUCUCUCGCGUGUAGGACCAGUUUUCUGUAGGACAGGAUAUG